rnacentral:tRNA from 1 species
UGCGGUGUCGUCUAAUGGUAGGACGGAAGACUUUGAAUCUUCUAGUGAUGGUUCGAAUCCAUCCACCGCAGCCA